AUUGAACGCUGGCGGCAGGCUUAACACAUGCAAGUCGAGCGGAGAUGAGGUGCUUGCACCUUAUCUUAGCGGCGGACGGGUGAGUAAUGCUUAGGAAUCUGCCUAUUAGUGGGGGACAACAUUCCGAAAGGAAUGCUAAUACCGCAUACGUCCUACGGGAGAAAGCAGGGGAUCUUCGGACCUUGCGCUAAUAGAUGAGCCUAAGUCGGAUUAGCUAGUUGGUGGGGUAAAGGCCUACCAAGGCGACGAUCUGUAGCGGGUCUGAGAGGAUGAUCCGCCACACUGGGACUGAGAAACGGCCCAGACUCCUACGGGAGGCAGCAGUGGGGAAUAUUGGACAAUGGGGGAAACCCUGAUCCAGCCAUGCCGCGUGUGUGAAGAAGGCCUUAUGGUUGUAAAGCACUUUAAGCGAGGAGGAGGCUACUGAGACUAAUACUCUUGGAUAGUGGACGUUACUCGCAGAAUAAGCACCGGCUAACUCUGUGCCAGCCGCCGCCGUAAUAC
rnacentral:rRNA from 1 species